rnacentral:rRNA from 1 species
GAUGAACGCUGGCGGCGUGCUUAACACAUGCAAGUCGAACGGUGAAAGAGGAGCUUGCUCCUCUGGAUCAGUGGCGAACGGGUGAGUAACACGUGAGCAAUCUGCCCCGAACUCUGGGAUAAGCGCUGGAAACGGCGUCUAAUACCGGAUACGACCCGGGAGGGCAUCCUCUCCGCGUGGAAAGAAUGUCGGUUCGGGAUGAGCUCGCGGCCUAUCAGCUUGUUGGUGAGGUAAUGGCGCACCAAGGCGACGACGGGUAGCCGGCCUGAGAGGGUGACCGGCCACACUGGGACUGGUACACGGCCCAGACUCCUACGGGAGGCAGCAGUGGGGAAUAUUGCACAAUGGGCGCAAGCCUGAUGCAGCAACGCCGCGUGAGGGACGACGGCCUUCGGGUUGUAAACCUCUUUUAGCAGGGAAGAAGCGAAAGUGACGGUACCUGCAGAAAAAGCACCGGCUAACUACGUGCCAGCAGCCGCCGUAAAAC